rnacentral:rRNA from 1 species
UGCAACUCGACUGCAUGAAGCUGGAAUCGCUAGUAAUCGCGGAUCAGAAUGCCGCGGUGAAUACGUUCCCGGGUCUUGUACACACCGCCCGUCACACCAUGGGAGUCGGAUAUGCCCGAAGUCAGUGACCCAACCGCAAGGAGGGAGCUGCCGAAGGUGGAGCCGAUGACUGGGGUGAAGUCGUAACAAGGUACC